rnacentral:rRNA from 1 species
CGAAGUUUCCCUCAGGAUAGCUGGCACGCAUUUUUAAUGUGUUUCAUCCGGUAAAGCGAAUGAUUAGCGGCCUUGGGGUCGAAAUGAUUUCAACCGAUUCUCAAACUUUAAAUGGGUGAGAGCGGUCGGUUGCUUGGGUGAACUGACCGAUGGAAUGGACGGUUAUUAGUGGGCCAUUUCUGGUAAGCAGAACUGGCGAUGCGG